GGGCUGGUAGCUCAGUUGGCAGAGCGUCCGCCUUGCACGCGGAAGGUCGCGGGUUCAAAUCCCGCCCAGUCCA
rnacentral:tRNA from 5 species